GCCAGACUCCUACGGGAGGCAGCAGUGGGGAAUAUUGCACAAUGGGGGAAACCCUGAUGCAGCGACGCCGCGUGAGUGAAGAAGUAAUUCGUUAUGUAAAGCUCUAUCAGCAGGGAAGAAAAUGACGGUACCUGAGUAAGAAGCCCCGGCUAACUACGUGCCAGCAGCCGCGGUAAUACGUAGGGGGCAAGCGUUAUCCGGAUUUACUGGGUGUAAAGGGAGCGUAGACGGCACUGCAAGUCCGGAGUGAAAGCCCAAGGCUUAACCAUGGGACUGCUCUGGAAACUGGGGAGCUUGAGUGCGGGAGGGGCAGGCGGAAUUCCUAGUGUAGCGGUGAAAUGCGUAGAUAUCAGGAGGAACACCGGCGGCGAAGGCGGCUUACUGGACGGCAACUGACGUUGAGGCCCGAAAGCGUGGGGAGCGAACAGGAUUAGAUACCCGAGUAUU
rnacentral:rRNA from 1 species